rnacentral:lncRNA from 1 species
CAAAGAGAAAUUAAUUGGUUUGGAUGCAAGAAACAACAAAUAAACAUGCAAAUGCAAUUGAUUCAAUUGACGAGAAAAAGACUAUGGAUGAAUGGAGUUGUUGGGGUUUACAAUUUCAUCAAAUCCACUCUCUCUUAUCUACUCCUCUUAUUUAAUUUGCUUUGUUAUCUAAUUGUCAUGCAAACUUUCUUAGUCUACCCUUAACCCGAUCCCUUGGCGAAAAGAGCCUAUUAUUAAUUACUGGCUUGUUAUCCCUAGCCUCCCCUAGUAACUAAUAAUGCAUUAUAAACGGAANCGAAAAAAAUUGAUCGUCCU